AAAGAAAUUCUAGAACGCAACGAGUUUGCCGCUUUGCAAAGUGGGGGCUUCCCUUGGAGGCAGCAGAAUGCAGAGACGUUCAGGAGAAACCACAGUUCUUCGGAACACACGGAUGCGGCCGUGCUGGGUGGAAGCCAUUUUGGCUGAGAAGUGAUCUCUUUCCUGACAACAAGAAUGGUGGAGAUGUGAGCAUUGGACCGAGCUCCAUCCAAAUUCCCCCAAAAGAAACUUCUCCCAUUUAAUGCCUGAGCAAAUAUUUCA